CUUACACAUGCAAGUCGAACGGAGAUGUCUCGCUGACGAAGCUUCGGCCGAGUCUUGAGGCAUCUUAGUGGCGGACGGGUGAGUAACGCGUGGGUAACCUGCCUAUCACAGGGGGACAACAGUUGGAAACGACUGCUAAUACCGCAUAAGCGCACGGCACCGCAUGGUGCAGUGUGAAAAGAUUCAUCGGUGAUAGAUGGACCCGCGUCUGAUUAGCCAGUUGGUGAGGUAACGGCCCACCAAAGCGACGAUCAGUAGCCGAACUGAGAGGUUGACCGGCCACAUUGGGACUGAGACACGGCCCAAACUCCUACGGGAGGCAGCAGUGGGGAAUAUUGCACAAUGGGGGGAACCCUGAUGCAGCGACGCCGCGUGAGUGAAGAAGUAUUUCGGUAUGUAAAGCUCUAUCAGCAGGGAAGAAAAUGACGGUACCUGACUAAGAAGCCCCGGCUAACUACGUGCCAGCAGCCGCGGUAAUACGUAGGGGGCAAGCGUUAUCCGGAUUUACUGGGUGUAAAGGGAGCGUA
rnacentral:rRNA from 1 species